rnacentral:lncRNA from 1 species
ACAAGGACUUGGCCUACUGGGUUUGAGAGAGCCCAAUCAGGUCCAGCUAGAGACCAGACCGAACCAGAAGAGGAAGAACAAGAAGAGGAAGGUUCGGGUACUCUAGUUUCACCAUAUGUUGUCUAGUUGGGUGUUCACCAGGAAGGUUGAUUGUUUGUUUUGUUUUGUCUAACUAUGGGGGGCCGUGUUGAUGACAUUUUUAAGAACUUUAUUAUUAUGUUUACAUAAACCUAUAACUAUGUUUUAUCAAUGUAUAUAAUUUCGUUAAUUAUAUUAUGUGUGUUAUUGUUGAGUAAUUUUUUUUGUUUUUCGAAUUCGUUAAUUUGGGUGUUUUUUUAUACAUGUACGUAC